UACGAAGGGGGCGAGCGUUGUUCGGAUUUACUGGGCGUAAAGGGCGCGCAGGCGGCCAUUCAAGUCAGGCGUGAAAGCCCCGGGCUUAACCUGGGAGGUGCGCUUGGGACUGGAUGGCUAGAGAUCGGGAGAGGAGAGUGGAAUUCCCGAGUGAUAGAGGUGAAAUUCGUAAGAUAUUGGGAAGAACACCGGUGGCGAAGGCGGCGUCUCUGG
rnacentral:rRNA from 1 species